rnacentral:misc_RNA from 1 species
GGCAGCUUUCCCAACCCCCACCGCGGCGGCGCUCCGCCGCUCCCGCCCCGAAUCCCGCCGCCAAUUCCUCCCCCAGCGCCACCUCAUCCCCUCCCCCUCGCCUCCCCGUCAACAGAUCUCCGGAGCACCGCUUCUCGUCCCUGGCUUCGCCGCCUCGCCGAGAUCGUCCAGGCUGUGGGCGCGAGCGCAAGGGGAUUACGCUGCUGGCGAUGGGGACGUUACUGUGGAGGAGGUGGAGUCGUUCACCUGGACCUCUGUUAUCAUUCCUUUUCUGUUC